AACGGCGAAGUGAAGCGGCAAGAAGCUCAAAUUUGAAAGCUGGCUCCAUCCGGGGUCCGCAUUGUAAUUUGGAGAGGAUGCUUCGGGUGCGGCCCCCGUCUAAGUGCUCUGGAACGGGCCGUCGGAGAGGGUGAGAAUCCCGUCUGGGGCGGGGAGCCCCGCGCCCAUGUGAAGCUCCUUCAACGAGUCGAGUUGUUUGGGAAUGCAGCUCUAAAUGGGUGGUAAAUUUCAUCUAAAGCUAAAUACAGGCCGGAGACCGAUAGCGCACAAGUAGAGUGAUCGAAAGAUGAAAAGCACUUUGAAAAGAGAGUUAAACAGCACGUGAAAUUGUUGAAAGGGAAGCGCUUGCGAUCAGACUCGCCCGCGGGGUUCAGCCGGCAUUCGUGCCGGUGUACUUCCCCGCGGGCGGGCCAGCGUCGGUUUGGGCGGCCGGUCAAAGGCCCCCGGAAUGUAGCGCCCCCCGGGGCGUCUUAUAGCCGGGGGUGCCAUGCGGCCAGCCCGGACCGAGGAACGCGCUUCGGCACGGACGCUGGCGUAAUGGUCGCAAGCGACCCGUCUUGAAACACGGACCAAGGAGUCUAACAUCUACGCGAGUGUUUGGGUGGCAAACCCAUGCGCGCAGUGAAAGCGAACGGAGGUGGGAACCCCCCCGCGGGGCGCACCAUCGACCGAUCCUGAUGUCCUCGGAUGGAUUUGAGUAAGAGCGUAGCUGUGGGGACCCGAAAGAUGGUGAACUAUGCCUGAAUAGGGCGAAGCCAGGGGAAACUCUGGUGGAGGCUCGCAGCGGUUCUGACGUGCAAAUCGAUCGUCAAAUUU
rnacentral:rRNA from 1 species